rnacentral:tRNA from 1 species
UGGAGAGUAGCCAAGGGGUAAGGCAACGGACUUUGACUCCGUGAUCGCAGGUUCGAAUCCUGCCUCUCCAGCCA